rnacentral:rRNA from 1 species
AUUGAACGCUGGCGGCGUGCCUAACACAUGCAAGUCGAAGGAAGUGGCGCACGGGUGAGUAAUAUAUAGCUAAUCUGCCCCUUGCUGUAGGACAACAGCUAGAAAUGUCUGCUAAUACUCCAUAGCAAGGCAUGAGACUAGAUCGUAUCAGCUAGUCGGUGGGGUAACGGCCUACCGAGGCUAUGACGCGUAACUGGUCUGAGAGGAUGAUCAGUCAAAUUGGAACUGAGGCACGGUUCAACAACAUACGGGAAGGAGCAGUAGGGAAUAUUAGGCAAGGGGGGCAAACCUGACGGAGCAACGGCGCGUGGAGGAUGACACUUUUCGGAGAGUAAACUCCGUUUGUUAGGGGAGCGGUACCUAACGAAUAAGCACCGGCUAACUCCGUGCCAGCAGCCGCGGUAAUAC